GACGAACGCUGGCGGCGUGCUUAACACAUGCAAGUCGAACGGAAAGGCCCCUUUGGGGGUUCUCGUGUGGCGCACGGGGGAGUAACACGUCUGUAACCUUCCCUUGUCUUCGGGAUAACCUUAGGAAACUGGGGCCAAUACCCGAUAGGAAUCCUUGCUGGAUGGUGGGGGUUGUAAAGCUUCGGCGGUUUUGGAUGGACCUGCGUCUUAUCAGCUUGUUGGUGGGGUAGUGGCUUACCAAGGCUUUGACGGGUAGCCGGCCUGAGAGGGCGACCGGCCACACUGGGACUGAGCGACGGCCCGGACUGCUACGGGAGGCAGCAGGGGCGAAAAUUGCACAAAGGGCGGCAGCCUGAUGCAGCAACGCCGCGUGCGGGAUAACGACCUUCGGGUUGUAAAACGGUUUCAGCAGGGGCGAAGCGUGUGGUGACGGUACCUGCAGAAGAAGCACCGGCUAACUACGUG
rnacentral:rRNA from 1 species